CUUACACAUGCAAGUCGAACGGCAGCACGGGGGCAACCCUGGUGGCGAGUGGCGAACGGGUGAGUAACAUAUCGGAACGUGCCCUGGAGUGGGGGAUAACUAGUCGAAAGAUUAGCUAAUACCGCAUACGAUCUACGGAUGAAAGUGGGGGAUCGCAAGACCUCAUGCUCGUGGAGCGGCCGAUAUCUGAUUAGCUAGUUGGUGGGGUAAAGGCCUACCAAGGCAUCGAUCAGUAGCUGGUCUGAGAGGACGACCAGCCACACUGGGACUGAGACACGGCCCAGACUCCUACGGGAGGCAGCAGUGGGGAAUUUUGGACAAUGGGCGCAAGCCUGAUCCAGCAAUGCCGCGUGAGUGAAGAAGGCCUUCGGGUUGUAAAGCUCUUUUGUCAGGGAAGAAACGGUUCGGGUUAAUACCUUGGGCUAAUGACGGUACCUGAAGAAUAAGCANNGGCUAACUAUGUGCNAGCAGCCGCGGUAAUACGUAGGGUGCAAGCGUUAAUCGGAAUUACUGGGCGUAAAGCGUGCGCAGGCGGUUGUGCAAGACAGAUGUGAAAUNCCCGGGCUCAACUUGGGAAUUGCAUUUGUGACUGUACGGCUAGAGUGUGUCAGAGGGGGGUAGAAUUCCACGUGUAGCAGUGAAAUGCGUAGAGAUGUGGAGGAAUACCGAUGGCGAAGGCAGCCCCCUGGGAUAACACUGACGCUCAUGCACG
rnacentral:rRNA from 1 species